rnacentral:rRNA from 1 species
AUAGCGUAUAUUAAAGUUGUUGCAGUUAAAAAGCUCGUAGUUGGAUUUCUGCGAGGGUGCCAAUGUCCGCUCGUAAGCGUGUGCAGCGGCGCCCUCGCAUCCUUCUGUUAACGUUUCUUGGUAUUCAUUUACUGGUUUCGGGCUCAGAUAUUUUACCUUGAGAAAAUUAGAGUGUUUCAGGCAGGCUUGCGCCGGAAUACAUUAGCAUGGAAUAAUAGAAUAGGACUUUUGUCUCCUUUGUUGGUUUGAGGGACUGAAGUAAUGAUUAAUAGGGAUAGUUGGGGGCAUUAGUAUUUAAUUGUCAGAGGUGAAAUUCUCGGAUUUGUUAAAGACUAACUUAUG